rnacentral:rRNA from 1 species
UACGUAGGGGGCAAGCGUUGUCCGGAAUCAUUGGGCGUAAAGAGCGUGUAGGCGGCUCGAUAAGUCUGCUGUGAAAGUCCAGGGCUCAACCCUGGAAGGCCGGUGGAAACUGUCGGGCUAGAGUCCGGAAGAGGCGAGUGGAAUUCCCGGUGUAGCGGUGAAAUGCGUAGAUAUCUGGAGGAAUACCGGUGGCGAAGGCGGCAUCCUGGACCGACAUUGACGCUGAGGAGCGAAAGCUAGGGGAGCAAACGGG